CCGCCCGUAGCUCAAUCGGUAGAGCAGCGACCUUUUAAGUCGACGGUAGUUGGUUCGAAUCCAACCGGGCGGA
rnacentral:tRNA from 1 species